GACGAACGCUGGCGGCGUGCUUAACACAUGCAAGUCGAACGAUGAAGCCGGAGCUUGCUCUGGUGAAUUAGUGGCGAACGGGUGAGUAACACGUGAGUAACCUGCCCUUGACUCUGGGAUAACUGCUAGAAAUGGUAGCUAAUACCGGAUACGACCCUCGGAGGCAUCUUCAGGGGGUGGAAAGAAUUUCGGUCAAGGAUGGACUCGCGGCCUAUCAGCUAGUUGGUGAGGUAAUGGCUCACCAAGGCGACGACGGGUAGCCGGCCUGAGAGGGUGACCGGCCACCCUGGGACUGAGACACGGCCCAGACGCCUACGGGAGGCAGCAGUGGGGAAUAUUGCACAAUGGGCGCAAGCCUGAUGCAGCAACGCCGCGUGAGGGAUGACGGCCUUCGGGUUGUAAACCUCUUUUAGUAGGGAAGAAGCGAAAGUGACGGUACCUGCAGAAAAAGCACCGGCUAACUACGUGCCAGCAGCCGCGGUAA
rnacentral:rRNA from 1 species